UUUACUGAAGUGGCAAAAAGAAAAGUACUUUUUAAAAUCCUCUCUGCCAUAAUAUAUUGUCAUUGUAUUAAAACUAAUAAGUGGUGAUAAAGUCUACUGUUGUUGGCUAUAAAGGAAGCUUUUAAAAUAUAGAGUUUAAAUAAUAAUUGCAUACAUAUGUAUAUAUAUAUGGAGGCUGCCCUUAGUGUCAGGUUUGAUGUGUAAUGUUCAAGGGUUAUCUGUAAUUCAUGCUUUACAGCAAGACAGGUCUUUUUAUGUCAGAAACCAAGUGCAUGAUUGCCUGUUCUUAAGCAAAAAUGUGCUGCUUGGCAACUGAAUUUAAAUUGUGUAUUAUUCUGCUGUGGUUCAACAACCUGAUUAUUUUUAGAUAGAAAUUUAAGGUAAAAUGGCACAUGGAUAUAUUUAGAGAGGACUGCAGCUGGAGUCCAGCUAUCACAGAAAGCAUUCUGGCAUUUGCUUGGGGAAGAUAUAGCUUUCAAGGGGCAGGGGUUCAGUAAUAGCAGGUCACUAACAACUGUUUCAGGGAGUCACUGAUUCCUGGAAGCAAUGACUGGUGUCUUGACACCCUGGAAGUUUUCCCAAAUGACUUGGCUAGAGUAGAUAAAGCUCAUUUUAUGCCGUUGAUCGUAUGUAUUUUCUUGCUGAUCAUGGAAGAUGGGAGCAAGAAAGGACACUAUGUUUGAUUUGAUUUUGCAGGGAAUAGAGCGACUCAUUAGUCAUUCAGUCAAACAUCCAACAAACAUUUAUUGAGCAUUUACAAUGUACCAUGUUAUUAGAUGCAAGAGAUACAAUGGUGAGGAAAAACAAAUAUUCCCAUGUCUUCAUGAAGCUCAAGACUUAACAGGUAGGAUUAACAUUAACCAGAUAAUCACAUAAAUAAAUGUAAAGUUGCCACUAUGAUGAAUGCUGCCAAUGAAUAGUCUAGUGCUAUCAGGGCAUGCAAGAGGGGAAUCUGGCAUAGUCGAGAUACAGCAAGGCUUCCCUGGAGAAGACACCACUGAAAUCAAGUCUGAAAAGUGAGUAAAAAUUAAUAAAUGAAAGGAAAUUUGAGACUGUCCUAUGUACUCAGAGCAAAAUGUGCCAAAGCCCUGCUGCUGAAGGAGCAUGCAUGUUUGGGGGACUGGUAGGUCAGUGCAGCUGAAGCAGAGAGAGAGAAGACAGGCUAUUAUAAGAUAAGCCUGAAGAGGUAGGAUGAGGUCAACCUUAGAGGACCCUGUACACCACAUUAAGGCCUCAUAUUUUCAGCCAUGUAGGCAAAAUUGGGGCAAACAUACUUUUAAAAGGGAUAAUGGAUCCUUAUAAAAGAAAUUAAGGUCAAUAUAUAUUCAUUGCUACUAUUUUGUGCAAGAAACUAUGCUAGGUCUGAAGAAGCUGCCAAAGGAGUACAACAUCUAUGUUCAUAAUGCAUAAGCAGUCCAAUGAAUAAACAGUGAAAUAUAUUCCAUGUUGUCAGAGAAUAUCUUUAAAUGAUAUGAAGAUUUACUGGAAGAAGACAUGUAACAUGACAAGAGGGAAUAGAAUCUGGGGAACACUUAAUAGAAAAAGGCUAAUGAACAGUCAAUAGAAUUUCUACUAGCAGAAAUGGAGAGUGUGGAGUUAGUGCUAUUGACAGAGUUAUCAAUGUGAGCAAAACCAAACACCAAAAGUGGACCAUGUCCAUUGUCUUUGGGGAGAACAGUAGAAACUUCAGGGAGGUUGUGAUACAGGCACCACCUGGAGAUGGUACAACAGAACAAUGUCUUACUUUUACAUUGUACCCUACAUUUAUAAUCUCAAUAGAUCUCCAAAAGAACACUAUGAAAGAAAUAGGGAAGCUUUAGCAGUUAUCUUCAUUUUACUGAAAUGUAGAGUGUAUAAAUAAUUUUUCCAAGAACACACAACUGGCAAAUGAUUGAUCCACAAUUAAAAUACAGAUUGCAAGUUUCCACUGCUUCACUGAGUCACAAAUUUCAAUCAUUCAGAAUCCAUCUUUAUGGUUUCACUACAUCUGGAUAUCACUUUACUAUCAUACACUUAACGUUUAUCUUUUAAUUGACUAAUUCUUUUUCCUUAAAAUUUUUUAAAAGGAAACUAUCACCCCCUAAGAGGAAGCCAAUAUCAUUUGUCACAAGUUUAAAGCUACACAGCUCACCUAUUGUGGCCAAUGCCAAUUCUGGGUGUAAAAGAAAAUCCUUGAGGAAGCAGCAGGCAUGGAUUAUUGCAAAAAUCAAGAUGCAGACAAAAUGGCAAAUCUGAGAAGAGAUGGACAGGCAAAAUGGAGCACAACGGAGUCACUACUGCUACGUCAGUGUGGAGUCGCACCUUGAGCCAUAGUGUUACUUAACCAUGUUCCUUGAUGGCACACAGAAUGUUAUACUGUAAUAUAGAUGUAAAUAUUAAUAUAAUAUAGAAGCAUAUAGUAUAUAUAUCAUACUGUAAUAUAGAAAUAAAUAUUAUACUUCUGGAAUUCUGGAAAUAGUUCUGUCUGUGAUGUCAUCGGAAAAAAAAACUUGAGGGCUGAGCUAUUUGUCCUCAGUGCCUAGGUUCUGUGGAACCCAGCACAGUGACUUUCAUCCCUGUGAAACCUCAACAAAACACUAGCGAAGGGUGGUCAUUCCCAGUUAUAUAAAGAUCUUUGAUGAUGAUAGGUACACCGGGGUUUCCAACUCAAAUAGUGCACAAGUGAGGAAAUAAUAAUAAAUAUAAGUAAAGUGGGCCAGGUAGAACUACAACAAGCUGGAGUACUCACAGCCCUUAUAAGGGCAGAGUCGCUAUCUGUACCAGCUGAUUGUUGCUAUGUGGAAAUGCAAGCCUAAAGCGCCAAAUACUCUGUUUUUUCCAAAAGAAGUGGGAAAUAGCCUGUAAGUGUCAAAACUAAUUCAACUUUUAAAAGAUCUCCAGGCAGCUCAAACAAAACCUAUCUACAGAUCCCCAGUUUGCAACCUCCUACCAUAAAAGGUCCAUGAGCUUGGUUUAAUGCAGGGUGAAGUUACUUAUCACCUUGGCAUCUCUAUUUGUCUAUCCAAAUAAUAGAGAUAACUAUAAUUCCUUUCUCAUAGCAUUGUUUGAGAAAUAAAAUGUGUUACUACAUGGUAAGCAUUUGCACUGUCUCAUUUUAUGCAUUUUUGUUAUUAAAAAUUAUAUUUUAUGUAUUUGCCUAG
rnacentral:lncRNA from 10 species